UAUUGAAAAUUUACAUUAAUUUUUAGGGUAAAUUUAUCUUUUUACCUCAUUUUGAGUUUCAAGAGCGAAAUAGUCAAUUUGCCACAAUUCUGUUAACUUUCUAAUAGAAGUUAAUGGAUUGAUGGAUGACAGAAGUGUUUUGUCAACUUAGGAUAUACGAGCGAUACACUUGAAAAGUGUUCACACGUUUGAUACGAGUGUCAUUUAAGGGUAUAUGACUGAUAAUUUCCCUAAUAAGUAUCCCUCUUAUCGGGAAUCCCCAAUUGUCAAUUCAAAGAAAGGAUUUCGAAAUCGAAUUUUUGACCUUGUUUUGAAAUAGGUAAAUUACUAAAAAAAAAAAUUAAAUAAAUAUAUAUUACAUAGAAACAAAAAAGAAUAAUAUAAUACAGUGUACCAAUAGCACCCUUAAUAUCUUACAUACAUCAAGAGUUUUAAGAAUGUGAUUUUCGGUGACACAAGAUUGAGUAUGUGCCAAUAGCACCCUCAGUAUCUUACAGACAUCAAGAGUUUUAAGAAUGUGAUUUUUGGUGAGACAAGAUUGAGUAUUUUUCACCAAAAGUCUUAAUUCAAUCAUAUGAUCUUGUUUAUCCUCUCUUGUUAACAUAUGGGAAAUGUUGGAUGGAAUCUAAGCAACCUUAAUUUACUAUAUAAACCAUCGAGACUAGAGAUGGUAAAAAGUCCCUGUGAGUAUGGAGCUCGUUGGGGCUCAUUUUGUUAGGGGCAAGUAUUGGAUUUAAUUAUAUUUCUAUUUUACAAAAAUGAUCGGGUACAAUAUAAUUUUUUAUACCCAGUAAUUGGGCAGUUUGGAUAUGGGCAUAAAAUACUGAUACUCAUAUGCAUUCACUAAAUUCAUUUGACUAUUGAUGAUUUAUUUUUUAAAAAGUUUUAAAAGCUAAAAUUAAUAGCUAAAUCUGAUAAAUAUUAAAGUAAAAAAUUGAAAACCUAAAGUAUAAACAUUAGCACUUGGCAUCUUAGUAAGAAAAAAAGACCAUUUAACAUGAUAUUAUGGCAGACGUUUAUCGAAAUUUUAGUCAUUUAAAGAAUUAGGCAUUUAUUAGACUAUUUAAAAUAUUGUACUAACAAGAAAUAAAUGAUAAUAUGAAACUUGUUUGAAUUAGGGUUAGUUGAAAUAGGUGAAGAAUGGACAAGGAAAUUCCAAAGCGUAGACUUUUGAUUUUGAUCCAAAUAUUUAGUAGUACAUUGAUUAAAAUUGAACUACAACCAUCAAAUUAUAAUUAAUAUUUACCUAAAAUUGAAACUAUUUUUUAAAAAUAUUUUAGAAUAAAAUGUUGCAUGUUCAUCUAAAGCUAAAUAGUUGAGAUAUCAUUUUUUCUUUUUUUAGAAAAUAAAAGGGGACAUAGGGGAUAGGGGAAGGGAUGAAUAUCUGCUAAUUUUUAUUGGGGAAUCCCUAAUAUGUGCCCAUUCAAGCCCACAUUAGGUAAGGAUUGGUAAUGGGGAUGUCCCUGACCAAAAGAUGUACGGGGUACAUAUAUUAGCAUUUUCGCAUAAUACCUAGCCUGUUGCCAUCCUUAAUCGAGACUAGAGGUGGUAAAAAUACCCGUCUGGUCCGGAUUCGCACUGUACCCGGACGUUGUGGGUCGGGUAUUAUCCGGCUCUGGUAUGAAGCCGGAUCGGUCUUGAGCAUCACUUGAUAAACCUGGAACUCAAAUUUUAU
rnacentral:lncRNA from 1 species